ACAGUCACCUUUGGCACUGCCUCCCAGGACCACCAAGCCAAGGCUGCAUACUCCAUGCUCAGACCGCACAAGGGCAGAGGAUGGUAGAGUCAUCUCCUUGAGCAACUUCACUAAAAGGAGGGAAACACGGACUUUCCCUGCUAAUGACUUUGUAAGUUUGCUUGCAACAGGAAGAUUCUGAGGGGCUGAUAGUGCUGGCGGCUCCAGAUCAAACGCUAUUAAGCCUGCUAUGUAUGGUGUUGGAGAUGCUCCGCGCACCCUCACACCCUCAGACAAGGAGGGGAAGGAAUCUAGCAGCCGCGCUUGAUCAAGGUACCUGCUGCCACCUUGCAGCGCUGCUCCCGAGCAUGGCCGACUGUGAGCAGAGUUAAGACCACCUUAUUUUGAUUACGCCGCUUUCCUCAGGCAGGAAUUUUUAUUUCAUUUUGAAUCUUAAAACCAUUCUAUUUCCAGCCAUGCAUUUUUAUGUUUACAAUUGACAUCUUCAUAAAAGAAUGGAACCUUUGAGCGACAGCUCAGAAGCAUGAAGGUUGCCUGCAAAAGGCCCCGAGUUGCAAAGAACGAACUUUCCAAUGAAACAUAUUUUAAGGAACCAGUGCUGAACAAAGGGCUGCUUAGAGCUGAGCGCUUUGUCAAUUUAUCAGCUUGUGAACACUCUGCCCCUCCGUCCCCCACUGCUGGGGAGCGUAUGGAACUCUGGUGCCUUGCUUAAUCGAAGACUAUUGAUUCGAGUGUGUCACGGUGAUCUCAUUGAGAGUAAUCAAUAGUAAUCCAAAAUCAAUCAUUCUGAUCUUGCACUACCAUUUAUCAAAUCUGAAUACGCUAAAUUAUUUGGAGGCAUCAGAUUACAAAGACAAGAAGAUGCUACAACUGGGAAAGUUAAUGGUUUGUAUUAAAAGAAAACCAGCAUCCUGUUUUCCUCCCAGUAAGGAAGGGACCUCGCUGGCUCAACACAGCAGACACAUACCGCAUCCCGAAACUUGACAGCAGCACAGCAACAUUUUCUAAGUCUGAUAAGCUAAAGUUUCAAACGCCUGUCACUCACGGACUCAGAAAACAAGGAGCCUCGAUUGACACGGAACAUAACUGAAUCUUGGAACAUCAGAAAUGGUGUUUAAUGGACCCAGAGACGGUUUGGCAUGUUAAUUUCUCCAGAGAAUGGAGAGCAUACAUGUACCUGCUUAUCAAAGACACUGCUGUUGAUGGGGAGGGUUCCUUUAUCAACAUUUCCCCGAGUAAUUUACUGAAGGUAAUAAAUCCUUCUAUUCAUUAGCGCACACUCAAAAGCGCCCCUCCUUAUUUAACUUGAAUAGGGAAAAAAAGGGGGGGGGGGCCCGGAGUGUCUAAAACAUUUACUUUUGCUAAUGUAAAAGUGUUGGCAUUUUGCUCCACUCCGAUAAGCUGGUGCCACUGAAGGAGAUUAGACCUUUCUUAUUCAAACCUAUCAGCACUUCGUAAAAAGCUCUCUCAAUCUUAUCAGGAGUAUGAGCCAGCGCGGUUACUGAAAACAGUCUGCACCGCUCUUCUCUCUCUCUGCCAAGCUAUCUGAUAAACCCCCAGCUAACGAACUGUAUUUACACACAAUCAAACAGAAGUUGUAUCCUCCACCGCACUCGAGCCAGAUUCCAGUUUGCCUUUGGUUUUUCUGCUGUGACAUUAACUUAACAAAAAUGUCAGCUGCUGAGUAUCCCAAACUGACAACCAUCAGGAAAACAACCAUAAAAGCACUCAGGUAGAAUGUUCUGCAAACAGAAACAAAAGAAAACACAAACGGGAGGUGUUGGGGGCAAUCUCCUUGGAACUCACAGGGAAAAUGAAGGGCGCAGCCUGGGUUAGCAGGAGAAACCUAGCACCCGUUCAGCGAAGAGCACAAUCCUUUAGCAAAGCAGAGGGGAAGAAACUGAUUUUUUAAAUGGGUGUAUUUCCUGGGAAUAGAAAAGGAUAAGUAUCCAGACAACAUGAUUUAGGAAUUCAGGGCUACCAGCCACCCCUCACUCCCUCCACCUAGAGGCCAAGCCAUGCUACAAAAGCAAGCCAAAGAAGACAAUAGACAUCAAGGAACUUACCCCAGAAACUGAAGGAAGAUAAGAGAGAAAGACACUGUCACAUAUGGUGACCACAGCUCAGGACAGACUUUCCAAUCAUUAAAACCCUCAUAAAUCCUCUACACAUUAGAGUGUUGUUCAUUACAAAGAAAUGAGAAAAUAAAGAAAU
ensembl:antisense 9330162B11Rik RIKEN cDNA 9330162B11 gene